UGCGUAGGCGGCUUUCUAAGUCGGAUGUGAAAACUCUGGGCUCAACCCAGAGCCUGCAUCCGAAACUGGAGAGCUAGGGUUCUGGAGGGGAAAGCGGAAUUCCUGGUGUAGCGGUGAAAUGCGUAGAUAUCAGGAAGAACACCGGUGGCGAAGGCGGCUUUCUGGACAGAUACCGACGCUGAGGCACGAAAGGCUAGGGGAGCAAACA
rnacentral:rRNA from 1 species